rnacentral:rRNA from 1 species
UACGAAGGGGGCUAGCGUUGCUCGGAAUCACUGGGCGUAAAGGGUGCGUAGGCGGGUCUUUAAGUCAGGGGUGAAAUCCUGGAGCUCAACUCCAGAACUGCCUUUGAUACUGAGGAUCUUGAGUUCGGGAGAGGUGAGUGGAACUGCGAGUGUAGAGGUGAAAUUCGUAGAUAUUCGCAAGAACACCAGUGGCGGAAGGCGGCUCACUGGCCCGAUACUGACGCUGAGGCACGAAAGCGUGGGAGCAA